rnacentral:rRNA from 1 species
UACGGAGGGUGCGAGCGUUGUCCGGAAUCACUGGGCGUAAAGAGCGUGUAGGCGGCCGUACAGGUCAGCUGUGAAAACUCGAGGCUCAACCUCGAGACGUCGGUUGAAACCGUACGGCUAGAGUCCGGAAGAGGAGAGUGGAAUUCCCGGUGUAGUGGUGGAAUGCGUAGAGAUCGGGAGGAACACCCGUGGCGAAGGCGGUGGCCUGGACCGAUGCUGACGCUGAGGCGCGAAAGCGUGGGGAGCGAUCCGG